AUAAAGGGUUGUUUUCAAGGCUUGGCUUUGCGUUCCGCCGUGAGGCCAACAACUGGGGCGGGGGCGGCAGCGGCGGCGGCCCAGAGGGAAGAGGACGAGUGUCGACGACUGCGGGGUAGUCUCGUGACCGUCGUUGGCGUAGUACCUUCCCAGCUCCCUUCUGCUAGGCUAUACGCAGUCACUGUCGCUUCUUUGUCAAGUUUACCUUUGGUUACCCAAUAGAGAGUUCUGAGUCCUUUAGCUCAGUUUUUCUUUCACCCUCUGUCGGCGUCUGGAGUCGUCGGCGAAAACGUCAUUGGUUGUACUUUCAGGUACCCUUCCACCAUGUCGCUUCGUGUAGCGUACGGUAAUCAGACCCGUGGUUCCAGUGAGAAGCGUUCUCACCGGAGCUACCUUACUACCAAGCGAGUGAUGGUACGAUCCCCUUCAUGACUGGGGGCUGUUCAGAUCAGGUUAUAAGUCUCGUACAUUUUGUUUUUUGAGUCCCUUCUCUAAGUUCUCUUCCUAUACGAAAUGUACGGCACUUCUUCCAGUGAUACUGGUAGUCACAGGAGUUUUCAAUUCUCGAUAUAGACGGUUGGACAGUUUUCAUCAUCUUCUCACCGGAGAUACCUUACUACCAAGUGAGUGAUGGAGUGAUCCCUCCGUUUCGUCAUUGGUUGUAUUCUCAGGUACCCUUCCGGCGUGUUGCCUCGUGUAGCGUACGGUAAGGAGACCCAUGGUUCCGGUUAUAAGCGUUCUAACCGAAGAUACCUUAAUACCAAACGAGUGAUGGAACGAUCCCACCGUUUUUCUAAAGGCGAAAACGUCAUUGGUUGUACUUUCAGGUGCCCUUCCGCCGUUUUGUCUCGUGUAGCGUACGGUAAGGAGACCCAUGGUUCCGGUGAUAAGAGUUCUCACCGGAGGUGCCUUAAUACCAAGCGAGUGAUGGAGUGAUCCCUCCGUUUUUCUAAAGGUGAAAACGUCAUCAGUUGCACUUCCAGGUACCCUUCCGCCAUCUUGUCUCGUAGUCCUGUUUUACUUACCCUAUUAGUGAACAAACCAAACACCGUUCCUUCCUGUAAUGUCAACACUGACGGGAAAGUUCCUAGUCCUCGUGUUUCAGAAAACGUGUGAGACAUCGUUUUUACCGGUGACAUCGUACACCACAACGGUCGUCUUGUUCAGCCUCUCAGCGCGAACGUGGGCGACACCUCUCUAUCCCGUAUGACGAUCAUGUGUACCAGAGCCAACGAGUUCGACACUGCUUAUAGUAGACCUACCUCUCACGGCUGACUCGCUUCAAUUUACGAAACAAACACUUACAGUCCUAGUAAUAGAACGAGUCACGGGGAACUUAAAGGUUCCACGAGACGCCGAACGUGAUAGUUUUGCUCCGUCGUGUAGUAGAUGUGGACGGUUCACAAGGCGUUUUAGUCUUCUUUUUCAUGAAUCUCGGCUACCCAGAUCAGGUUAAACGAAAUGCACGGCACUUCUUCCAGUGAAACGGAAAGUCACAGGAGUCUUGUCGGGGUCGCACAGGCUUCUUAAACUUCUCUCGUCGUGAUAUCGAUGUCGGUGGUUGAACAGGUUUCUUAAUCUUCCGGUCCUGGGACCAUGACGGUUUGUUAGUAGUCUUUGCUUCGGCUAUAACAUGCUAGUCACAACGGGGAGUUUUCGUUUUCAUGACUGGAGGUUGUUCAGAUCAGGUUACCAAUCUUGUACAUUUUGUUUUUGUCUUCCCCUCUUUUCCUACACGAGAUGUACGGCACUUCUUCCAGUGAUACGGGCAUACACAGGCGUCUUCAAGCCUCGAUAUAGACCGUUGUGCAGUUUUCUUAAUCUUCUCUCGUCGUGAUAUCGAUGUAGGAGGUUGUACAGGUUUCAUAACCUUCUUGUCCUGGGACCAUGACGAUUUGUAAGUAGUCUAUACUUCACCCAAGAAGCUACACAAUCGACACCAGUUCUUCCCGUGUUCCGGUCCUCGACAGGUUGUGCUCACAAACAUACGAGGAAUACGUUACUUCUUCCGGUGUUUCGGUUCUUUACGGGAGUCUUCGCGGUCUUCGCAAUUCUGACGGCGUGGUUUUCGAUAGCCAAUUCGUUUGUCACUAUGUGUGAUAUGACAGUAAUUUAAAAGUUAGUGCGGUUCUUCGUCGACCCUUUCUCUACAACUGUGAUUCUAUGUUGGUUCCUUCGAACGUGGUAGCGGCUCAGCGACCAGCUACCUUUCGUCCCUGCUCAACAGCGACCUCCAGCGUGUCCCCUCGGUUCCAACCGAUCUCGUCUGCGAGGACCCGUUGUCGGCCGUCUCGCAGCUACUGACAGCGUUGCUCGCCGUAACUUCCGUUACAGCCUCCAGGAGUGAUUACCACAACUCCGAGCCAGAGCCCAGAAACAGGUACUAUUAUCCGUACGAUAUGAGCUACUUGGAAACCUGACGAUACCUCCACGUCCGGUAGGUACCACGGUAUAGCUAAGACGUACCGCACGGCGCACACCCAGCCAAAGAACUUUAAGGAUUAACCGUCGGCUAACAAGACUCUAUCGUGGUCACGUAGAUCGAAACCUCAACAUUUGACAGGACUCGAGUUACCAACUUGACCUACAAACUGUUUGACACUACUUAUUACAAGAACGAUCGACGUGACCUACGAACUGUUCAACAUGUAUUAUAAAAAAAAGAUCGAAGUCUGUGAAGUUUAUUUCAAGACAUCGUUAUAAAAAAAGAUCGAAGUCUGUGA
rnacentral:rRNA from 1 species